rnacentral:rRNA from 1 species
GUAGGGAAUAUUGGGCAAUGGAGGCAACUCUGACCCAGCCAUGCCGCGUGCAGGAUGACGGCCCUCUGGGUUGUAAACUGCUUUUAUACGGGAAGAAAAAAUACUACGUGUAGUAUACUGACGGUACCGUAAGAAUAAGGAUCGGCUAACACCGUGCCAGCAGCCGCGGUAAUACGGAGGAUCCAAGCGUUGUCCGGAUUUAUUGGGUUUAAAGGGUGCGUAGGCGGAUCUUUAAGUCAGUGGUGAAAGCCUGCAGCUUAACUGUAGAAUUGCCAUUGAAACUGAAGAUAUUGAAUGUGGUUAAAGUAGGCGGAAUGUAUCAUGUAGCGGUGAAAUGCUUAGAUAUGAUACAGAACACCGAUAGCGAAGGCAGCUUGCUGAACCAUUAUUGACGCUGAGGCACGAAAGCGUGGGGAGCGAACAGGAUUAGAAACCCGGGUAGUCC